rnacentral:rRNA from 1 species
CCUACGGGCGGCUGCAGUGAGGAAUAUUGGUCAAUGGGCGUAAGCCUGAACCAGCCAAGUCGCGUGAGGGAUGAAGGUUCUAUGGAUCGUAAACCUCUUUUAUAAGGGAAUAAAGUGUGGGACGUGUCCUGUUUUGUAUGUACCUUAUGAAUAAGGAUCGGCUAACUCCGUGCCAGCAGCCGCGGUAAUACGGAGGAUCCGAGCGUUAUCCGGAUUUAUUGGGUUUAAAGGGUGCGUAGGCGGGCUUUUAAGUCAGCGGUGAAAGUCUGUGGCUCAACCCUAGACUUGCCGUUGAAACUGGAAGGCUUGAGUAGGUUUGAGGCAGGCGGAAUGCGUGGUGUAGCGGUGAAAUGCUUAGAUAUCGCGCAGAACCCCGAUUGCGAAGGCAGCCUGCCAGGCCAUGACUGACGCUGAUGCACGAAAGCGUGGGGAUCGAACAGGAUUAGAUACCCCAGUAGUC